rnacentral:rRNA from 1 species
AUUGAACGCUGGCGGCAUGCCUUACACAUGCAAGUCGAACGGCAGCGCGGACUUCGGUCUGGCGGCGAGUGGCGAACGGGUGAGUAAUACAUCGGAACGUACCCUGUUGUGGGGGAUAACUAGUCGAAAGAUUAGCUAAUACCGCAUACGACCUGAGGGUGAAAGUGGGGGACCGGAAACGGCCUCAUGCAGCAGGAGCGGCCGAUGUCUGAUUAGCUAGUUGGUGGGGUACAGGCCCACCAAGGCGACGCUCAGUAGCUGAUCUGAGAGGGCGAUCAGCCACACUGGGAGUGAGACACGGGCCAGACUCCUACGGGAGGCAGCAGUGGGGAAUAUUGUGCAAUGGGGGGAAACCUGAGCUAGCAAUGCCGCGUGUGUGAAGAAGGCCUUCGGGUUGUAAAGCACUUUUGUCCGGAAAGAAAUCGCGCUGGUUAAUACCUGGCGUGGAUGACGGUACCGGAAGAAUAAGCACCGGCUAACUACGUG